CUGCGCGGCCAGCUUCUUAGAGGGACUACGGCCUUUUAGGCCGCGGAAGUUUGAGGCAAUAACAGGUCUGUGAUGCCCUUAGAUGUUCUGGGCCGCAUGCGUGCAACACUGAUGUAUUCAACGAGUUUAUUGCCUUGGCCGACAAGCCCGGGUAAUCUUUGUAAUUUCAUCGUGAUGGGGAUAGAUCAUUGCAAUUCUCGGUCUUCAACGAGGAAUUCCUAUUAAGCGCGUGUCAUCAGCUCGCGUUGACUACGUCCCUGCCCUUUGUACACACCACCCGUCGCUCCUACCGAUUAAAUGGUCUGGUGAAAUGUUCGGAUCGAGGCGAUGUAGGCGGUUGGCCGCUCGCGACGUCGCGAGAAGUCCAUUGAACCUUAUCAUUUAGAGGAAGGAGAAGUCGUAACAAGGUUUCCGUAGGUGAACCUGCGGA
rnacentral:rRNA from 1 species